AUGCUCCUCCGUUCUGGGCGGCGCCUGGCCGCCGAGGACGAACCGGGGCGGACGGCCCCGCCGAGGAGGAGAAGCAGGGCAAGGUCGGACCGCCUCGCCGUCAUCCCCGAUGAGAUCCUGCAUCAGGAGAUCCUGCCCCGCCUCCCGGCCAAGUCCGUGCUCCGCUUCCGCGCCGUCUGCCGGUCCUGGCGCAGCCUCGCGUCCGACCCCGCCUUCCUCCUCGACCACCACCGCCGCCAGCCGGCGGUUCCCCUGAUUAGGUCCUGCCGGAUCUCCGGCCGCGGCCUCGAAUCCGGCCUCAACGCCAUCCACCUCCGGUCCGCGAAGAUCGGCCCCUCUCUCCAGUUCCCAUUCCACGGCUCUUUCAGCAUCGUCGCCUCCUGCGACGGCCUUUUCGUCGUCGGCAGCUACAUCAUCUGCAAUCCGGCCACGAGCGAGUGGGCUGCCCUCCGGCAGGACAGGAAGCCCAUAGAGAAUCUCUUCGCCCUCUUCCGGCACCAGCCUUCAGGGGAGUUCCGCGUCAUGUACUGGAAAAACAACUCCACAGAGUUGAUCUGUCGGCAGGAGUAUUACAUCCUCACGGUGGGAACCAACAAUUCAUGGCUCGUCGAUUGUCCGUUAACCGAGGUUUUGGCCGAGGAACCAUCCAUCUUUGGCGCGCCGGUCCUCCUCAAUGGCAGCCUGCACAUACACUGGAGGAGACGGUCAGGUCUUCGCUACCACAGGAUACGGGUGUUCGACACAGUGGCAGAGACGUCACGGCAGAUGACUCCGCCACCUGUGAACCCCCGCCAUGUUAUGCACUUGCUUGACCUGGGUGGAAAGCUUGCUGCGUCCACCAGCAAGGAUGGCAUGACUGAGAUGUCCAUCUUUGUGCUUCAGGACCCUGAGCAUGAUGUCUGGGCAUUCCAGUACCGGAUCAAACUGCCGGCGAUGGAAAUCAGGCGCUUCCAGAAGCAAGGUUCAAAGAGAGUCUUAUCCAGCAUACAUUUUUCCAAAAGACAAAGAAGAAGAAUUGAUUCGUACCCUCUCCUGGAUAUCUGA
rnacentral:rRNA from 1 species